GAGUUCUGAUUAUUGAAAGGUGCUUGCAUCUUGAUUUAAUUUUGAACGAGUGGCGGACGGGUGAGUAACACGUGGGUAACCUGCCCUUAAGUGGGGGAUAACAUUUGGAAACAGAUGCUAAUACCGCAUAAAUCCAAGAACCGCAUGGUUCUUGGCUGAAAGAUGGCGUAAGCUAUCGCUUUUGGAUGGACCCGCGGCGUAUUAGCUAGUUGGUGAGGUAACGGCUCACCAAGGCAAUGAUACGUAGCCGAACUGAGAGGUUGAUCGGCCACAUUGGGACUGAGACACGGCCCAAACUCCUACGGGAGGCAGCAGUAGGGAAUCUUCCACAAUGGACGCAAGUCUGAUGGAGCAACGCCGCGUGAGUGAAGAAGGCUUUCGGGUCGUAAAACUCUGUUGUUGGAGAAGAAUGGUCGGCAGAGUAACUGUUGUCGGCGUGACGGUAUCCAACCAGAAAGCCACGGCUAACUACGUGCCAGC
rnacentral:rRNA from 1 species